AUUAUAUUUAAAUAUUUGUUUUUAUUAUCAAGUUUUUUAUGAUAUAUUUAUAUUUUAUUAUCUUAUUAUUUAUUUUAUUUCAGCUUACGUAAAAAUAACAAUGUCAACAAAUAUCUUGUGUACAGAUCUAUUUCAACCGCUUGGACGGUUUCAACCGCCUGCAGAACCUUUCCAAGAAAUGGGAAAAUCCUACAGGUUUGGGGCUGAGCUGAGGGUUAGCAGAUGAUGACAGAUGUUUCACUGUGUGUGUGUGUGUGUGUGUGUGUGUGUGUGUGUGUGUGUGUGUGUGUGUGUGUGUGUGUGAACCUUUAGGAGUCAGGCAUGCAGAAAGCAGGGAACAAGAGCUCUCUACUGUAUGCGGUUUAGUGAGCAAUGCUAAGAGAAAUGACAUCCAAGAGGGUUGCAGACAAACAUUUGUCCAGAUGAGCUGCGGUAACAGGAUUGUGUUUGGACAGGAGCUUCUCUCUGUAGGGAACAAGGUGACAGUUGAUCAGCUCAAGCACACUUAA
ensembl:lncRNA